rnacentral:rRNA from 1 species
UACAGAGGGGGCAAGCGUUGUUCGGAAUUACUGGGCGUAAAGGGCGCGUAGGCGGCCUUCUAAGUCGAACGUGAAAUCCCCGGGCUCAACCCGGGAACUGCGUCCGAUACUGGAAGGCUUGAAUCCGGGAGAGGGAUGCGGAAUUCCAGGUGUAGCGGUGAAAUGCGUAGAUAUCAGGAGGAACACCGAUGGCGAAGGCAGGUCUCGUGGGCUGACACUGACGCUCAUGCA